UUAGAGGUCGAAUAUUUCCCAGAGUCCCUAGCGCGGCCGUCCCACCCACGAUAUGGGGGUGAAGCUUCCGUCAAGAGCAAAUUUGUGGAGGAAUUUCUGAAGUUUGCGACAAAAAUGCGCCCGUAAAGACGACCCACGCACCACACCUUGCCGAUCAGGAGCCAACCUUUGCCCAAGGCCGAUGAGACCGGUGAUUUCCACGACGUUUUUCGGCGGUUGACCUGCGAAGUUCCACGACGCGGGUGAACACAGGUGAACAGAAGACUGCAUGAUUAAGAUGAGGGAAUAUAAAGUGGUGGUGCUGGGCAGCGGAGGAGUUGGGAAGAGCGCGCUGACCGUCCAGUUCGUGACCGGUCAGUUCAUGGAAAAGUACGACCCCACCAUCGAGGACUUCUACCGGAAGGAGAUCGAAGUCGACGGGGCGCCAUCUGUCCUGGAAAUCUUAGACACGGCCGGAACGGAACAGUUCGCGUCCAUGAGAGACUUGUAUAUCAAGAACGGACAAGGAUUUUUAUUGGUGUACAGCCUUACUAACUACCAAACGUUUCAGGACAUCAAGCCAAUCAGAGAUCAGAUUAUAAGAGUGAAGGGGACGGAGAAAGUCCCGCUGGUAUUGGUCGGGAACAAGGUCGACCUGGAGAGCGAACGUGAAGUGCCUACGUCAGAGGGGAAGGCCCUGGCGCAGAGUUGGGGCGUCCCGUUUCUGGAGACGUCGGCGAAAAGCAAACACAACGUGGACGACGUGUUCGCGGAGGUUGUCCGAGAAAUGAACUUUGUGCAACUCCCAGACCAGAAGGAUGCCUGCUGUACAUGUGUUAUAGUCUAACCAAUACAGGUAGGCUUGUUUGUUUAUUUGUGUGUUUUCUCGGCACCCAUCUCAGUUUGUUAGUCUGAGAAAAUAACUUUGUGCCAUCCUAGACCAUAUUCCUGCUGUACAUGUAAUACAGUAUUAUAGUCUAACCAAUACAGAUGUGUACAGAGAGAGGGACCUGGAGGUCAAAGACAUCUUUCUAUGCCUGUUUGUGUACAAGACAUUUGGAGGUGGCUACUUCCCAUGAUGCAAUGCAGAAGAGUCCACCCAGGAGCCCAACCAAUAGCAAACCUUCCUGCCUAAUCAGGUUAACAGCUGACCCGAGGCAGUUUGUACUUGUAUUAUACUAGAUAACAAUGUCUGAUAUUGUUGUCCCAGGUUUAUAGAAAGCCAGGGGACAAGUUUAUAUUGUGUACAGAAAUGACUGCAACACAGUCCCUCAAAUGUGCAGCCAUCUUGAACACCCCUCUGUACAAAGUUCAGUGGCCCAACGUGAGGACACUCUUCACACAAAUGUGGACAACACUAUUUUCGUAGAGGGGUUCAUUCAGCCAAAUUGAAUGACAAUUGAGAACCCUUUACCGAAUGAAAUGUAUUGGACUGCUAAGUUUGUAUAAUAUUUGCUCAGAAAUGUUUCACGUUUUAGAAAAUAGAAGAGUCCACUUUGAAGAUGUAGGGGUUGUCAGGAUACACUGUACAGAUUGAUAUGAAUUUUUGUGAAAUAAUGGCAAGUCAACGUCUUCCUUUUAGCACAGCAAAGCAAAACGCCGAGCAGUGGCCUUAAUUUCUCUGAAGUCAACCCUUUCAUGUGUCUACAGACUACAAUUUGACCUGUACAUUUACUCUACCAUCAUGUAGGAAAUGAUAUUCCUUCAACAAUGCACAUCUACACAAUGACAAGAGGGAGUUUAUUCACAUGCUCCCUCUAUAAUAUGGCGUUGUUUGUAUACAAUUUCAAGAACGAUGCAGAAUUUUGAAGUGUCUAAGUGGUUCAACAUUUGGAAUGAGUAACUGUACAAGGAAGUUAUAUAUGGACCGGGGCUGUCAACAUGACCUGUCCCUUCAUCCUACGAUUAAAAUUUUCUUCUCCGGAUGGACAAAAAUUUUACUCUGUCCUUCAAAAUAAAAUCUUGAAAAUGUCAAAAUGACAGAUUUGACAAGGGAAAUUUUACUCAAUUAGAAUUUGCUUCUGGAAAGUGUAAAAUAGCGUUCCAGGGGACUAAAAUUUUGACAUGGAAUGCCCCAGGACCCCCUAGUUUUGUGAGUAUACUUGCACCAAACCCACCCCCCUCCCACACGAAUAAGACAGAAAAAAAAUUGAAACUGGGGACAGCCCUGUUAUGAACAAUUGCAACCUCCUGUGCAAGACCAUCAUCCUCUGCUGUUAUUAGCCCUUGUUUGAUUUAUUACCCAGGGUUCCUUGCCUUGAAGGGUUGCUGUCUCCUCCUUACCAGUUUGACCUACUAGAGAAAUUGCAUCUUCCACGUUGAAACCAACAAAUUGUUCUUCACAAAAGGGCAAAUUUUGAAAUACUUGGCAUGUUUUUGGCCAGGCAGGUGGUAUGCGAUGUAAAAGGAGAGGGAGGUUUCUGAUUUAUGUGGUAAUAAAACGGGAGGGCAAGUAAUCGUACGGUAAUGGCUGGAGCAGUCGGGUCGCCUUAAUGAUGGAUCAGACACACAACAAGGGCAUCUUGAUCCAGAUUGAAGGGGUCUACAUGGGGUUUGGCAGUAUCCAGGUCUGUUCAAUAUUCCAAUAUUCCUCUUCCUUUCUUAUGACACGCACUGUUUUCUCAAAAUAUUUUUCAAGACAUUUGGUUGAAAUUGAGUCAAGGGCGUCUUGAUUGAGAUUGAAAGGGUCUACAUGGGGUUUGGUAGUAUCCAGGUCUGAUCAAUAUUCUUCCUAGUUUCGUCUAUCAUGUGCACACCUGGUGUUUUUUUUUUUUUAAUUUCUUCAUUAGAUAUUUGGUUUUAGCUUGAAAUUGAUCUUACCAAAGGAAUUUUCUUAAAUUUAUAGGAAAUAGUUGCAAGGUCAUUCAAUAUUGAAAUAGCGCACACAACUGACACAAAAUUUAUCAAGAAUUUAACUUAAAAAAGGAGACUGAUUCUACUUCAACAUGUUUGUCUUUUUCAACCUCUACAUUCUGUCAAGAGAGGAAUGACUAGAAAAUAAAUUUCUGCUGUCUGAAAACCCCCAAGCAUGUUCAGACUUGUCUGGUCUGGUCACAUUAAUUCUGACCUAUCCUGGAAAGGGGGACCUCUUGGUUUAGUAAUGAGGUGUUUAAUAUAUCCCCAGGGGGGCCACAUUAUCUGGACCAUCACUGGGACUGAACUCUCGCCUCUAGACCUGUAAUUGUUACCCAUCAAUACAGUAUUGAUUGGAUCACAUGUAUGGACCUGAUCAUGGUGAGAAGUACAGUCUCGUAUCUACAAUCUAUGAAAUCUGAGAAAAAACAUGUUAUGAUUUUGAUCUACCAGUAGGUUAUUUUCAAUAUUUUAUUUUUACUGCUUGGUUGUGGAGGAAAAUUGGAAAAUGAUAUCAUAGGAAAAAUUAUACACCCACUCCAAAUGGCAUCAAAAAGCACUCAGCCCUUGUGAUACACACGUAGCCCAAAAAAUUACAAAUUUGCCUUUUAAAGACAUUAUCUCUCCUUGUGGAAGGAAAAAUACAGAAUCGUAUAGUAAAACAAGAAAUAAAUCAAUAUAUUUCAAUCCCCAGUGUUAUCCAAAGGUUAUUUUUGUGACCUUUUUUUAUUCUGUACUGUGUUUAGAUUUUUGUUCCAUCUUACUUUUCAAUCAGCUCCCAAUCCCUCCAUCAGUGCUCACAGAAGAAGGCAUUAAUGUUGCUUCAGUCCCUCCCAGUCCAGCCUCAUUAAACUUGCAAUGAAUUUGUAUGGCUGUGGCCAUGUUAAUGUCUGCCGCGGACGUUAAACCGGCGCCCAUCUGUCACUGACACCCCCUCAGAUUGUUUCUCCCUUUCUGUCAGCGCAAAAUGGCACCUUUUAUGGCGGACGGAAGAUCGCAAAGUACCGUAAAACCGUCGCCCGCAUCGUCCUAGAAAUGAGAUUGCGGGCAGAAUUGGGGUUUGCAGAUGGGAGGUUGAUAUUGAGAGAUGGACACGGCUCGGGAAGAGCAUUUCGGACAUUUUACUGCGCCAGCCACUGAUGUAAUCAGCCCUACUUGUUUCAGCACCUACACGGACAGAUGCUUUAUUAGUCAUUGAGAUGUUUGGCUGUGGUGACUGUGUUAACCCUGCACACUCUAAAGGUGCUCAGUGUAACCAGUAGCCUAGAGUGCCAAAGGUUAAAAACACCGCUGCUGUUUUCAUUCAGAUGGAAAACUACUCAAUGCGAGAGAGGCAGCACCAUUCUUCUAUUCCCAUUAAAGAGGAAACUCUCCUUUAGCUUUCAGUCCCACACCCAGGAUUUCUAUACCACUGUGCAACAACCAGUAUCUUGGUAACCAAACUGUUGUCCUCCAUCCGGAUUUCUAACAAGAAAUUUUAGACUUCUGCAAAGUAUUUUGGGUUUUGGUGACCUUGAAGUUCACAGUUCUCCAGAAAAUUUUUGGGGGGUUUUCUUGAAUGAGGGGAUCGUAUGAAUACUAUGAUGUAAUUUAAUUGGGUAUUACACCACGUCCUGAAUUCCUCCACAUACCACCCACUUCUACUAAGUUCUAGUGGGUGCAUGCUGGGUCUCCUUCAGGGUUGACCUCCCCAUCAAUCAACUGUCAAAAUCACCACCUACCAAUGUGUAACCAUCCAAAACAUUACUUCCAUACAAGGAUGAAAGAAAGA